ensembl:ncRNA T28B4.13 ncRNA
GAAAAUAAAACGAGAAAAAUUUAGAAUACCUCGUAAAAGUAUAUUGCGGAAUGAUGGUGCCGACCACUGCUCGAUGUUUUCCGGCGCAGAAAAACUCGCCCGUCAGGUAUUUCCAGAUAUGAUUUUUGAAGAGAUGUCAUUGAAGAA